AACGAACGCUGGCGGCAGGCUUAACACAUGCAAGUCGAGCGAGACCUUCGGGUCUAGCGGCGGACGGGUGAGUAACGCGUGGGAACGUGCCCUUCUCUACGGAAUAGCCCCGGGAAACUGGGAGUAAUACCGUAUACGCCCUUUGGGGGAAAGAUUUAUCGGAGAAGGAUCGGCCCGCGUUGGAUUAGGUAGUUGGUGGGGUAAUGGCCCACCAAGCCGACGAUCCAUACCUGGUUUGAGAGGAUGAUCAGCCACACUGGGACUGAGACACGGCCCAGACUCCUACGGGAGGCAGCAGUGGGGAAUCUUAGACAAUGGGGGCAACCCUGAUCUAGCCAUGCCGCGUGAGUGAUGAAGGCCUUAGGGUUGUAAAGCUCUUUCAGCUGGGAAGAUAAUGACGGUACCAGCAGAAGAAGCCCCGGCUAACUCCGUG
rnacentral:rRNA from 1 species